CUUUCCUCUUUCCGUCGUCGCUAUCGAUUUUGCAUAAAAGUCCUUCGGUUUAUUCGAAUUCAACCCGCAGUCCCUGUUUAAGUGGAUCUGGAAAAACGCUUUAAUUUUGCACAAAGGACCCUAUGUUUUGGUAUAUUCAAAACGCGGUCCUUUUUACAUGGGCGGCGCGACUGGAGCUUGCAGGGGCCGGAUCCGCGCACGGCGGGGGCUUGGAGGCGGAUCCGGAGGUGGGCGGCGACGCGGGGGGCGAGGAAGGCCGGAGCGCGGCUUCCCGGGCGGAUCCAUGGCAGAGAAGAGACUGGGUGGUGAGGUUGAGAAGAAGGGAGAAAAGUGGGGCGGUGCGGCGACCCACGCAGGAGCUCGCCGGAGCCGGGUGACGAUGGACGGGCGCGGGAGACAGAAGGAUCCGGCGCGGCGGCGCGCACUCCUUGUAGUUGGAGGCGGGCCUUCAUGGCCGCGGCGCCCCUCCCCCGCGACAGCUCAGGCAGCGGUCAGAUCCGCCCUCCCUCCCUCCCUCACUCCUCGCACUGGAAGACCUAGCCGCUGGGCCAUGGUGACCGACGGCGAUGAUGACGGUGGUGGCUACCUCGACGAUGGAUAAAAUCCGCUCCGCCCCUCCUCUUAUCCGUCGACGACCGCUUGAAUCCCGAGAGGAGAGGAGAGGAGUGGGAGAUCCAUGGCGGCGGAAAGAUCCGCGCCUGGAUCGGACCUGCUCGUCAAGGAGACCCACGCCAUGGAGCUGCUCGUCAAUGUUCCACCCUGGCACACAUCCAACAUCGCCAUGGACCAGUAGCUCAAGCCGUCUUCUUCCAGAUGGUGAUGGAGUUCCCUCACCAUCUGCAGGUCAUCAUCCUUAAGGGCUCCACCAUCUGCAGUGUCUACAGUGGACUAUUUGCAUCUUCAGUGCAAAUACCUGAUUGUAUAUGGAUGGAUUGUAGGGUCUAACCACCUUGAUUUGAUUCGGGCUGGAGCAGCAGCAGCAGGUCCUUCCUUCCAUGGAGGGCAUCCACAACAUGACCCGCACAAGGAGCUCCAAGCAGACAAGGUACCUGCUCCAUUGUUGUACAUGUUCGUGAGUUCUUUGUGAUGAUGAAACCACUGAUUGGAUGUCCUGAUUAGAUACAAUCCAUUCCAUUGAACUGUGGGGACAACAUGAGGCACAUGUCUCUGAUUUGUUGUUACUUUGGUUGACAAUAUGUACUGUGCAUGCGUGUGUGUGUCAAUAAGUAGCAGAUUUGCUUGGCCGCCUGUGACACUCAUGCCAAAUCCUUGACAUUUCUGGGGUUAUACAACCAUCAUGUUUUCUAAGGUUUUGUUUUCCCGCCUCCAUCUCUUCCAUGGCAAGCAGCACAGGUUUCUUUGUUUGUAAAUUAAGCAGUCUGGUAGAUUUGGAAAGGAGGAACAGGGUACUGAACUUUUAUAUAUCUGCACAAGGUACCUUUCAAUUAAUAAGAUUUGUUUUUCUGUUCUGAAUAGGGUACUGAGCCUGAUAAUUGUACCUUUCUAUUCUGAAUUGCAUAUUUGUAGGAAUACUAUGUUAUGUAAGAACAUGGCGGUGCAGUCACCCGAGGUGAAGAAGCUCUGUCACCUACCUCUACAUCCUCCACUAGGCUGACAAGCACAACUGCUAACAAGUAUGCUAAUCCACCCUCAUCUGCAUCGCUUCCUCCUAGCCUGUGAUUUAUGACAUGGAGCAUGUUGUUCUGUUAUCAUAUACACGAAUCUGUCCAUGCUUAAAUGUGGUCAUAGGUUGUGGAAUAGGAGAAACAAUAUAAUGUUCUUUAGCAGAUGCAAACCUGUCCAUGCCUUAUUUGGACCAAUAAUUACUGGUGUUGCCUAUUUGAUAUGUAAACAUAUUUUUUUGGAUGUCUCAGAAAAAUGCCAUGCUACUACAUAAGUUUGAAUCAAACAAAUUAAAUUUGUAAUAAGAUCCCUGAAAGUAAUUAAGUGCUUCUUGAAUGCAUGGAAACAACAAGUUAGAUAUCUCAGAGGUACUAUGUCAUAUAUUCUGAAAGUGGCGCACAUGGAUAUGUAUUCUUGGUUAGCUUUAUGUUCCAUUUCUGUUGUACAUGCUCCAAGAGUUAAUGUGUUAUUCUGAAAGGAUAUGAAGUGAAUUGUCUUCUACUGCAAUCAAUGGGCAUUUCGUUCUACACAUAUGUCCUGAUGUUGUAGUGCCACUUGAUUUCCUUUAAAAUUUCAGUAACAAUUGAGCAAUAUUGGCCUUCCCUUUUUCCUGUAUUAAGUACUAUUCAUGGAGUCAAAGCUCAUGGAGAUGGUCUGUUACUGAUUGCUGCAUCUAUAGAGCUCACUAAUAAAAUAUCUGCUGGUUCAUCUAACUUAUUUGAUCUAUAUGUUUUUGUUUACCUGCAACACGAAGAGAAAAACAUGCUCAAUUAGUUCAUAAAUUUUAAAAUUGUGCAUUUUGUAUAAUUUCUGCUGGUUCCAGUCACAGCAUGCCAGCAUCUAAUCCUUGCAGCAACACCAGGAGUAGACUUUGGAUAUUUUUCUAUACAUUUGACAUUAAAGUUAUACCAACUUGCAUCCAUCGAUCACUAGCUAUUACAUGCAGUAGGUAAUUAUCUGAUGUCAAUGCAACAUCCAAAUCAUUGAAAUACGACCUCUUAUUCUACACAGUUCUUUAUGCUUUGACAAAUCACAAAGUAGAAAUCGAUUUUAAGAUAAUCUAUAAUUAUAAUAAAACCAGGGAUUGCUUUUCUGAAAGAAAAACAAGGGAUUGUUAAUAUGUUUAAAUAUGAAGAUUUGCAGUACUGUAGGUCCUUACCUCUUCUUUUCCAAAGUAGAUAGGACAAAAAAAAUAUGUCCCCACUAAUCGGUACGUGCAGCAGUGAGGAACCGAGCAAAAGGGGAGCUUGGCUUCCAAUGGGGUGAUGGACAGAUUGUAGGUGGGUGCUUGCCUCAUAUCUUCAAUGUGAGAAUAUUGAUUUCUCUUCUACUCCCUCUGUUUCUAAAUAUAAGUCGUUCUAGGGAUUUCAAUACAAACUACAUACGGAUGUAUAUAGACUAUGUUAGAGUGUAGGUUCACUCAUUUUGCUCCGUAUGUAUGUAGUGGAAUCUGUAGAAAGACUUAUAUUUAGGAAUAGAGGGAAUAUCGGUUAGUAAGCAUUUUCCAAACUGUACGAAAAAAAUGUUCAGGAGUUAAACUACUUUUCUUACUAUUCAUGCGAGAUGGCAGAAUACUUUGCUUACUAUUCUCUUCAAUUAUUCCCCGAUUACAAGGAUGGCAUUGUUCACGAGUUAAUCUACUGCAGAAAAAAUGACACACCAUUAUCAAGUUGGUAGGAAAUCAACCUGCUGUAUCUAUUUUUUUUUUCUUCUGGCAUGUCCAUCGACUCUGUUAACACCAAACAAAGUAACAAACUUGACAAAACUGAAACUCAUCUCCCAGAUUUCUCUAUGCACUUCCAUAGAUUCUGAUAUGUCCAUUGUCUUUACGACUUACAUUUUGUAUGUAUCUGGAAGCUAAUUCAGCAUGACCCACGAGUGUUGAUUUGUAUGUUAGUGUGAUAGAAUCUCACUGAAAAAAUUGACAGAAUAAAGGAAAAUAUAUAUUAGAUGUGUGUUAUAAGAACGAGUAGUCCAUGCUGCCAUGCAACCAAUAAGUAGUCAGACUUUAAAACCAUUGUCAUGCAAAAAUUAGGACAACUUUUGGAGUACUUGGGUUAUCCGGGUUCUUAUAAACAGGUUCCCUUUGUUGUAAGAGAGCAAGGUGCUAGCGGACUCACAUGAUGAGUUCUAUGAUCCAGAGAAGGUUGACCCUAGCCAAGAGGGGCAUUCAGGCGACGUGGACUCACAUGAUGAGUUCUGUGUUCCACAUAAGGUUAAUCCACCAUGAAGUGUCUUGUCCAUGGAGGAUCGUUGUUGGCUUUGAGGGAGACGUACAGACUGUUUCCUAUAACCUUUCUAUUUUUUUGCUUGGCUCAUUCAGUAGCUUUUGUGAUAACAGUUGUGGCAAGCUUUUGUUGGUGUUGGAGCUCCCAAAGUAGAAGGGUAUUCUAUUUUUGUUUGCUUCUCUGUUUCGUAUAGUGUGCUUACUUCCGAAGGUACAUGCUCAGAUUCUUUGGCCUCGGACGUUGUAGAUGAAAGCCUUGAUGUACUAUCAGCAUUUUUUGCUAAUGGGGAGACAGCCGUGUUCGUUGUAAAGGAAAUGAAUUAAUCUUUUAUGUUAACAAUUUAUAUCGGGGAAUGCUAAUAGAGGCCAUUUUGACAUGUCUGCGAGCUGCCCUGCUUUAGAUGAGGAUGGAAAAAUACAUUGAGAUACUUGCUUCCGGCUUAUGCUAGACACAAUGUACAUGCCAUGCCAUGCCACUACUGCACAUAGCGGUACAAUCCAAAUGCUGUUAUGCCACAUCGGGUUCUGGUUGGACGGUGGUUGAAAUCGAAGAAGACACAACCUAAGCAAUUUGGUUACCCCGUUGCAACGCACGGGCAUAUUUACUAGUAUAUAUAUAUAUAUAUAUAUAUAUAAAUAUAAAUAUAAUAUAUAAUAUAUAUAUAAUAUUAAUAUUAUAUAUAUAUUAUAUAUUAUAUAUUAUAUUUAUAUUUAUUAUACUUAUAUAUAAUAUUAUAUAUAUAUUAUAUAUUAUAUAUUAUAUUUAUAUUUAUAUAUAUAUAUACUAGUAAAUAUGCUGAUGUGUAGAUUUCAAAUAUGCUAUUAUAUUAAUCAUCAUUCCUAAAAUUCCAUUUAUGAUGCAACCUUUAUUAAUAUCUUCUUUAUAUGGGGUAUUUUGAAAAUCCCGGCUUAACGUUGAUAUUUCUGUAGUCUAAUAAAUUGGAAACAUGUUGAAUACAUUUCACAAAUAAUACAACCUUAUGAACUUACACCACUUAUCAUGUUGUUUCUCGUGGGGCAUUGUGAAAGAUUUGAAGGGAUUCGCCGAUGCUCUCAGGUGUGCGUAUGAGGGAUGAUUUUUUUCGCCUGUUUACCUGGGAGACCCAGGUUCGAGUCCCCUUGCUCCCUUUUCCUCCUUUUAUUUUUCUCUCCUAUUAAUGUUGGUAGGCGUAGGAUAUUACUACUCGCUCCAGCGUCACUUAGCAGAUGGGCAGCACAAUGUACCAGUUACUCUAUUUUUUGGACAUAUUCAUAUAUUUCAAAAAAAAAAUCAUAACUUUCAAACCCUAACUCCAAAUCUAACAUGUUAUGUAUAGAAAUCCCUUAAAAAGAUGUGUAGAUUUCAAAUAUGGUAUUAUAUUAAUCACUUUCAAUGUCAAAAAAACUCAUAACUUUCAAACCCUAACUUCAAAUCUAGCAUGUUAUAUAUAGAAAUCCCUUAAAAAGAUGUGUAGAUUUCAAAUAUGGUACUAUAUUAAUCACUUUCAAAUCCUAACGCCAAAUCUAACAUGUUAUAUAUGGAAAUCCCUUUAAAAAGAUGUGUAGAUUUCAAAUAUGCUAUUAUAUUAAUCAUCAUUCCUAAAAUUCCAUUUAUGAUGCAACCUUUAUUAAUAUCUUCUUUAUAUGGGGUAUUUUGAAAAUCCCGGCUUAACGUUGAUAUUUCUGUAGUCUAAUAAAUUGGAAACAUGUUGAAUACAUUUCACAAAUAAUACAACCUUAUGAACUUACACCACUUAUCAUGUUGUUUCUCGUGGGGCAUUGUGAAAGAUUUGAAGGGAUUCGCCGAUGCUCUCAGGUGUGCGUAUGAGGGAUGAUUUUUUUCCGUUGCAACACACUGGGAAUAAUGCCUUUCCAUGGAAUCUGAAGCAUGCAUGGUUAAAAAAGAAAUUCCGAAUCAUACACCUGAUUUCAUGAAAAUUAUUGUGACCUCUUCAAAUAGAAAAUUCGUUUUAGUGUGGUAUGUGCAAAUCUGUUUAUUAUGUUUCCUUCUAUAUGAAAGAAAAUUGAGUUGUACUUUAGACUUUAUAGGUCUCCGUGCAUGUAAGUUUAGAAGAAAUUUGGUAACGAAAAUCAGUAAUGGGCAUCUGGUAACUUACCAAUUAAAUCUUAAUUUCUUAUAUAUGUACAUACAUGUACGAUCCUCAUGAUUUAGGCUCUCAAUGAUAAAUCAAAUGAUGAAGGUAAUGACUCAUUAUACUACAAAUUAACUAGGAAGGUAAUUUAGAUAUUUAAAUUAAUCAAUUCUUUCAGGAUUGAAGUGUAGCAUCUCAUACAUGCAUUUUAAGAUCAUUGGUAAAAUAUACAUUACAUGGCUGAUGCAACAGAAUGUUAUCUUGGGUCAUUGGGCUAGGGAGGUGUGUUUUGAUUCUCCCGGUGCAACGCACGGGCAUAUUUACUAGUAUAUAUUUAUUAUAUAUAUAUAUAUAUAUAUAUACUAAUAAAGCAAUUACUGCUUCUGGUCGUACGUCGUCGACCCUUUGGCAAAAAGCCCCUCUGUUUUGUAGUAUUCAACCCGCAGUCCUUUCUUAAGUGAGAAAACGUUUCGUUUAAACAUUUUACAAAUAAAUCCUUAUAGUUUACCGUAUUCAACCCACGGUCCUUUCUAAAUUGAAAAAAAGCACGCCAGAAAACACACACGAGAACGGGCUCUCCUCUCCCUCGCCUCCCGAUCCCAACCGCCAGGCGCUCGAUCUGGUGCCGCGCCGGCCAUCUGGGCGCGGCGUCGAUGGAUCUGGCGGCGGGUGCGGCAUCUUGCUCCGCUGGCGACGGUGUCCUGCUGAUGCAAAGAGACCAGGGCGUGAGGAAGAGAGGAAGAAAGGAGAAGGGGCACAAGGUGAGGGAGGCGGUCGCCGGCGGCGGCGGCUCCGGUGACCGGCCGGAGGGAAGGGAGAGGAACUCCUGUUGAGGCGGCGCGGCUUGGUGCACGCUGGUUUCUCCGGAUCGACCCCCUACUCAGAUCUGCACGCCCCUGAUGAUUGGAGGUGUGCCUUUCACAUGUUCGUUGAGUUGCAGCAACAAGGACAGAUGGCCAUCUUCACAGGUUAUGCCCCUUACUGUAAUUUGCAUUCAGUUAUGUGCAGUAAUAAUGCCAUAUUUGUUAGCCUGCUAGCUGUUUCCAGAUUUUUUUAGACAUGAUUGACUGCUUCUACACAAAAGGAGUUUGUCGAAAAUAAGAGCAAUCCCAUUGUUGCUACAGAGCCCGAAGAUUCUUUGCCUUUCUUUGAACUGUUUGAGUUUUUUCUUUCAUAUGGCUACAAUUAUUUGAUUGGUCCAUGUAGAUUUAGGCAACAUGAGAUGAGCCGAUGAUAUAUAUUGUGAUAUACGAUGUCUAUUGCUACAAGUGUUGAUGUCUUGGUGAUGGCAGGUUUUGCAAGUAAUUGAAAUGCUUUUUGAGUAGAGGAUAAUUAGAGAUAUAAUGUUCUACCUGAUCUUGAGGUAUGUGAAAGUGAACUCGGUGAUUUUGAGUAAUUCUAAGAGUAUACAUCUCAUCUAUCAGGUAUCCUUUUUUGAGUAAUGCUGAGAGGAUACAUCUCAUCUAUGAGGAAUUAAUCCAUCUCGUUUUCUCUGUGUUUACCUUGUUCUACAAAUGGCUAACUAGGUAAUGAUUAUUGAUAGCUAAUGACAUGAGGGAGAGGGGGACAAGCCCCUUUAGCUACUGCAAUGUGGUUGUGCAUACAAAUGUGCUACUCAUAUUCCACUGUUAGACGAGCUAGGCGCGAGAAGCAGGUUCAGAAUUCAGCUCCAUUUGAUUUACAUUUAGAUCAUCUUGCUGCAACACCAUCACUUUUCUUGAUAGCAAACAACAAUUUUUAGUAAUCAUUUAUAGCUUUUCUUUGGUUUGUUUAUUCUAUUAUACCAUAGAUAUCAUGAGAAACUGUUAAUCGCUUAAGGAGGGUGUUCUGUUCACUCAAAAUCAACUGCCUAAUGGUCUGAUUAGUUUAUGUAUGUGAAAAUUUAUUUUAAUAAUUAUAGUUGCAAUUUCCAGUCAAGGCAUAUGUUCUUUUAUACUUUUAUAGUGAGUCUACAAUAGGUUGAAUAGAUUCGAUUUCUAUUUCCUUUCCUUGUCGUCGUCCACUUAGGUUAUAAGGGGAGCCAGAGAGGUGAGGGAGGUGACCAAAGCGGCAGCGGCCUUGGGGUGCCGAAGAAGAGAGCGUAGGAGGAUGGAAAGGGGCUCUUAUACGACGGCUGGAAGAGAACUAUGCUCUCCUAAACCUGAAUGGGCCAAAAGUGACAAGACAGACAGAUCUGGCAGUCAAUUAUUCUUCAGUUUCGGUUGUGAUGUUUCAACAUGAGUUCAGAGCGUUAAUGCUUUGCUGAUGCGAGGAGGUGAAGUUGUAUGCUACCAGAGUGCAGAUAUUUCUUGGUAUGUUUGCUUUCAAGAAAAGAUGGAUGUGUGUUGUGACUGUGACAGAUGGUUCUACUGGAUAUGUUGUUGGGUUUAUAACAAGAAGCAUU